rnacentral:rRNA from 1 species
AUUGAACGCUGGCGGCAUGCCUUACACAUGCAAGUCGAACGGCAGCACGGGUGCUUGCACCUGGUGGCGAGUGGCGAACGGGUGAGUAAUACAUCGGAACAUGUCCUGUAGUGGGGGAUAGCCUGGCGAAAGCCGGAUUAAUACCGCAUACGAUCUACGGAUGAAAGCGGGGGACCUUCGGGCCUCGCGCUAUAGGGUUGGCCGAUGGCUGAUUAGCUAGUUGGUGGGGUAAAGGCCUACCAAGGCGACGAUCAGUAGCUGGUCUGAGAGGACGACCAGCCACACUGGGACUGAGACACGGCCCAGACUCCUACGGGAGGCAGCAGUGGGGAAUUUUGGACAAUGGGCGAAAGCCUGAUCCAGCAAUGCCACGUGUGUGAAGAAGGCCUUCGGGUUGUAAAGCACUUUUGUCCGGAAAGAAAUCCUUGGCCCUAAUACGGUCGGGGGAUGACGGUACCGGAAGAAUAAGCACCGGCUAACUACGUG